rnacentral:sRNA from 1 species
AAUCAUGCGUAUGACCAACUCAAUGAACAAAGCGCGCCAGCGCUUCGAGGCGUGGGGUAGUUUCAGCUUGAUCCAGCGAGGAUACCCGCUGGGGAGAUCUGCUUCCUGACAGUAAUGUCCGGAGGGAAGACGGAAACCGUCAACAAAAACCCGUGUCGCAGAGUUGCCCGCAUCAAAACGUACGGACCUUCUGGGCGCACCAAUAGACGAUCCUGCAGCGGUUAGCCUCUGCAGGGGAAGAACCCCGGGAAGCACCGGCCUGGCAGCCGGUGGGGAACAGGGAACGCCAUACAAUGCGCUUGGCCGUGAACCGGAGAAAUCCGGGUAUAACAGAAGUGGCCGGUAAGAGUAGCCAAAGGCUUUUCACUCGACUGAAUGGAUGGUGAAUUUGCAGGUAGUCAAUCCUGUACGGGUUUAGGGAAACCCAGGGCAAGUAGUUUGCAGCCGACGGGCUGCAGGCUCAGGCUUAUCUUCCCGUUGACGGAAUAUUGGUGAAGGGUAAUGCAUGUAUGGCGAAGGUCUGGUCAUAUGUGUGGUU